rnacentral:rRNA from 1 species
UCCAGAGUGGAUCCUGAGUACGGCGGAACACGUGAAAUUCCGUCGGAAUCCGGGAGGACCAUCUCCCAAGGCUAAAUACUCCCUAGUGACCGAUAGUGAACCAGUACCGUGAGGGAAAGGUGAAAAGCACCCCGGAAGGGGAGUGAAACAGUUCCUGAAACCGUGUGCCUACAAGUAGUUAGAGCCCGUUAAUGGGUGAUAGCGUGCCUUUUGUAGAAUGAACCGGCGAGUUACGAUUUGUUGCAAGGUUAAGCGGAAAAAGCGGAGCCGUAGCGAAAGCGAGUCUGAAUAGGGCGCAUAAGUAACAGGUCGUAGACCCGAAACCAGGUGAUCUACCCAUGUCCAGGAUGAAGGUAAGGUAAUACUUACUGGAGGUCCGAACCCACGCACGUUGAAAAGUGCGGGGAUGAGGUGUGGGUAGCGGAGAAAUUCCAAUCGAACUUGGAGAUAGCUGGUUCUCUCCGAAAUAGCUUUAGGGCUAGCCUCGAGGUAAAGAGUCAUGGAGGUAGAGCACUGUUUGGACUAGGGGCCCUUCUCGGGUUACCGAAUUCAGAUAAACUCCGAAUGCCAUGUACUUAUACUCGGGAGUCAGACUGCGAGUGAUAAGAUCCGUAGUCGAAAGGGAAACAGCCCAGACCACCAGUUAAGGUCCCCAAAUAUAUGUUAAGUGGAAAAGGAUGUGGGGUUGCUUAGACAACCAGGAUGUUGGCUUAGAAGCAGCCACCAUUGAAAGAGUGCGUAAUAGCUCACUGGUCGAGUGACCCCGCGCCGAAAAUGUACCGGGGCUAAACAUAUUACCGAAACUGUGGAUGAACCUCUUUAGAGGUUCGUGGUAGGAGAGCGUUCUAAGGGCGGUGAAGUCAGACCGGAAGGACUGGUGGAGCGCUUAGAAGUGAGAAUGCCGGUAUGAGUAGCGAAAGAAGGGUGAGAAUCCCUUCCACCGAAUAUCUAAGGUUUCCUGAGGAAGGCUCGUCCGCUCAGGGUUAGUCGGGACCUAAGCCGAGGCCGAUAGGCGUAGGCGAUGGACAACAGGUAGAGAUUCCUGUACCAGUGCUAAUUGUUUAACCGAUGGGGUGACACAGAAGGAUAGGGAAUCGCACGAAUGGAAAUGUGCGUCCAAGCAGUGAGUGUGAGAAGUAGGCAAAUCCGCUUCUCGCGAAGCAUGAGCUGUGAUGGGGAAGGAAAUUAAGUACGGAAGUUCCUGAUUUCACGCUGUCAAGAAAAGCCUCUAGGAAGAGUAGUACUGCCCGUACCGCAAACCGACACAGGUAGAUGAGGAGAGAAUCCUAAGGUGAGCGAGAGAACUCUCGUUAAGGAACUCGGCAAAAUGACCCCGUAACUUCGGGAGAAGGGGUGCUCUAUUAGGGUGCAAGCCCGAGAGAGCCGCAGUGAAUAGGCCCAGGCGACUGUUUAGCAAAAACACAGGUCUCUGCAAAACCGUAAGGUGACGUAUAGGGGCUGACGCCUGCCCGGUGCUGGAAGGUUAAGAGGAGUGCUUAGCUUCGGCGAAGGUACGAAUUGAAGCCCCAGUAAACGGCGGCCGUAACUAUAACGGUCCUAAGGUAGCGAAAUUCCUUGUCGGGUAAGUUCCGACCCGCACGAAAGGCGCAACGAUCUGGGCACUGUCUCAACGAGAGACUCGGUGAAAUUAUAGUACCUGUGAAGAUGCAGGUUACCCGCGACAGGACGGAAAGACCCCGUGGAGCUUUACUGCAACCUGAUAUGGAAUGUUUGUACCGCUUGUACAGGAUAGGUAGGAGCCGAAGAGACGUGUGCGCUAGCAUACGAGGAGGCAAUGGUGGGAUACUACCCUGGCUGUAUGACCAUUCUAACCCGCCACGCUUAGCGCGUGGGGAGACAGUGUCAGGUGGGCAGUUUGACUGGGGCGGUCGCCUCCUAAAGAGUAACGGAGGCGCCCAAAGGUUCCCUCAGAAUGGAUGGAAAUCAUUCGCAGAGUGUAAAGGCACAAGGGAGCUUGACUGCGAGACUGACAAGUCGAGCAGGGACGAAAGUCGGGCUUAGUGAUCCGGUGGUUCCGCAUGGAAGGGCCAUCGCUCAACGGAUAAAAGCUACCCCGGGGAUAACAGGCUUAUCUCCCCCAAGAGUCCACAUCGACGGGGAGGUUUGGCACCUCGAUGUCGGCUCGUCGCAUCCUGGGGCUGUAGUCGGUCCCAAGGGUUGGGCUGUUCGCCCAUUAAAGCGGCACGCGAGCUGGGUUCAGAACGUCGUGAGACAGUUCGGUCCCUAUCCGUCGCGGGCGCAGGAAAUUUGAGAGGAGCUGUCCUUAGUACGAGAGGACCGGGAUGGACACACCGCUGGUGUACCAGUUGUUCCGCCAGGAGCAUCGCUGGGUAGCUAUGUGUGGCAGGGAUAAACGCUGAAAGCAUCUAAGCGUGAAGCCCCCCUCAAGAUGAGAUUUCCCAUUUCUUCGGAAAGUAAGAUCCCUGAAAGAUGAUCAGGUAGAUAGGUUUGGAGUGGAAGUGUAGCGAUACAUGGAGCGGACAAAUACUAAUCGAUCGAGGACUUAACCAAAA